CUAAUGGAUAUUUAUUUGAAAAAAAUUAACAAUAUUAACAAUAUGGACCCGAUGUCACUUAUCGAGAUAGCCAAAAUGGCUCAAAAUGUUCAGUUGCAGUAUGCUAUGCGACUGUCGAUGAAUGCCGUAGACAUCAUCGAGGAUCUACUACAAAAGGAUCCGAACAAACGUCUUCAAGAAGGAGACAUCUGAAUACAGAUUUUUUGAU